CUUAUGUGAGAAUAGUAGUAGUAGUUGACUUAAAUUGG
rnacentral:sRNA from 1 species